CACGCUUAACAAUCUCCUGCAACAACACAAAUAUAAAACUGCUCUGGCAGUCGUCAGAGGCUUCAGGAAUGGAGCUGUAUAUGGGGCUAAAAUUCGUGCCCCUCGCGCCCUAGUGAUGACGUUUCUGUUCAGAAGUGGCAGUAUGAGAGAGA